GCCCAAUGAGGCGGCGAUCAAGAAGCGC
rnacentral:sRNA from 1 species